UUAAAUCUCUCUAUCGAGAAACAAUUGGAGGGCAAGUCUGGURCCAGCAGCCGCGGUAAUUCCAGCUCCAAUAGCGUAUAUUAAAGUUGUUGCAGUUAAAAAGCUCGUAGUUGAAWUUCUGUCCAUYGGUYGCCWGCACAWUMGUGUUWGUGYRRCYGGUGGGCAUCCUUCUAGGCGUUCCUCACGGACACGCUUAGAKCCUUUACUGUGAGAAAAUUAGAGCGUUCCAAGCAAGCGAUUGCUUUGAAUACUACAGCAUGGAAUAAUACUAUAGGACUUUUGUGCCUAUUUGUUGGUGUUAGGCCGAAAGUAAUGAUUAAUAGGGGCAGUUGGGGGCAUUCGUAUUUGACAGCCAGAGGUGAAAUUCUUGGACUUGUYWAAGACGAACUACUGCGAAAGCAUUUGCCAAGGAUGUUCCCRUUAAUCAAGAACGAAAGUUAGGGGAUCGAAGACGAUUAGAUACCGUCGU
rnacentral:rRNA from 1 species